rnacentral:rRNA from 1 species
GCAAGUCGAGCGGGCAUAGCAAUAUGUCAGCGGCAGACGGGUGAGUAACGCGUGGGAACGUACCUUUUGGUUCGGAACAACUGAGGGAAACUUCAGCUAAUACCGGAUAAGCCCUUACGGGGAAAGAUUUAUCGCCGAAAGAUCGGCCCGCGUCUGAUUAGCUAGUUGGUGAGGUAAUGGCUCACCAAGGCGACGAUCAGUAGCUGGUCUGAGAGGAUGAUCAGCCACAUUGGGACUGAGACACGGCCCAAACUCCUACGGGAGGCAGCAGUGGGGAAUAUUGGACAAUGGGCGCAAGCCUGAUCCAGCCAUGCCGCGUGAGUGAUGAAGGCCCUAGGGUUGUAAAGCUCUUUUGUGCGGGAAGAUAAUGACGGUACCGCAAGAAUAAGCCCCGGCUAACUUCGUGCCAGCAGCCGCGGUAAUACGAAGGGGGCUAGCGUUGCUCGGAAUCACUGGGCGUAAAGGGUGCGUAGGCGGGUCUUUAAGUCAGGGGUGAAAUCCUGGAGCUCAACUCCAGAACUGCCUUUGAUACUGAAGAUCUUGAGUUCGGGAGAGGUGAGUGGAACUGCGAGUGUAGAGGUGAAAUUCGUAGAUAUUCGCAAGAACACCAGUGGCGAAGGCGGCUCACUG